rnacentral:lncRNA from 1 species
UUUCAUUUUAUGGAGACAGAAAACAUCGCUUAGAAAGACCAUCAAAUUUGGUGGAGGUAGUCCAACUGAAGAAAGCAUUUCUCUACGUUUUUGCUGUUUACUAACAAAAGGUUUUUAAAGCAGCAGUUACAUGUGGAACAGUGGUUGCAGUGGCGGAUCCAGCCAUUUUAAAAGGGGGCGGUUCCAACUAUAUGUCCCUAUUCAAAUGCAUUGAUCGCCCCCCCCUAAAUCCGCCUCUGAAGUUCCAAACCCCUGACCCCCUCCCCCUGGAUCCGCCACUGGGUUGCCAAUCAGAGAUUUUAAUGUGAGAUUUGAAAAAUCAUGUACGAUUCCUUAUAUGUAUAAAAAUAAUAUACAUGAUAUAAGCUUAUUAUUAUUACACUUGCAUAUAUGAAGAAAAUGUCACAAGAGGGUUUCAUAAGAAAUAAAAAAUAAAAAAUAAAAUCUUCCCACCCGCC